UUUGAAACUCACCACCUGACUAUGGGUGUGGCAGAAGAAAUCCCAGAGACGGAACCUUCUCAACCUGGCCAGUGAAACCAAAACAACUAUCUGCAAGGCUAGAUAACAUCGAAGUCGGGAAAAACGCAAUCCUUUGUCGAAUGUCCUUGGCACUGCUCCAUGCUGAUAAGAGAUGCACUCACGAUGGCAGCCACAGCUCCCGCCGGUGCAGGAGGAUUUUGUUCCCUAACAUAAGGAAGACAGCAACUUUCAGUCUGCCCACAUUCACCUGACUCAUCGUGACAGAUGUCCAUGGAGCUGCAUGAUGUCAUCUGCCAGCUCUCCCUUCCCCAAGUAAGACCUUGUACCUACAUGAUUAGAAAUGAGUGUGUUGCACUGUAGGCGUCGUUCUGCCACAGCUCAAAACCUGAGGGGUGGGGACAAAAGCCAACAGGCUUGAAAUGAUUAUCUUGGAUAGCCGUCAUUCACUUCUUGCGGAAGACAAAAAGUCCCCUGGGAGGACUUAUCAGAAAUGUUCACAUCUACGUGUUGGGACAGUGAUGUCAUGGCUUCCGAUGACACCCUUCCAUCUGAUUGGCCCAUCGAGAAGGUCACAGCUCUCAUGAGUCAACUGCUGCUAACCCGCUGUUGGUAGUCUACUGAGCUCCACCUGCUGGUUCAGACGACGGCAUCUGACUGCCUUUGCAGUAUCUCUCCUCCUCUCAUGAAGGGGAAGCAUGUAACGCCAGUGACACACGUCUGUGUCGCUUGCUUGACCACUGAGUAAUCUUUAAUAGUGAAUCAUUUCCUGAGAUUGUGUGUUGUUACAGAGUUUAACUGAUGAGAUCCUGAAGCGUCCAUCGUAAGC